UAUGUAGGGCGCAAGCGUUGUCCGGAAUUAUUGGGCGUAAAGAGCUCGUAGGCGGCCUGUUGCGUCCGCUGUGAAAUCCCGGGGCUCAACCCCGGGCGUGCAGUGGAUACGGGCUGGCUGGAGGCAGGCAGGGGAGAACGGAAUUCCUGGUGUAGCGGUGAAAUGCGCAGAUAUCAGGAGGAACACCGGUGGCGAAGGCGGUUCUCUGGGCCUGUACUGACGCUGAGGAGCGAAAGCGUGGGGAGCGAACAGG
rnacentral:rRNA from 1 species